GCAGCGCAGGGCCCCGAGGACGGCCUGGCCCGGAGAAAAGAUACCGAAGCUCCAACUUUCCCCAACCCCGCUCCCCUCCUCCUUCCACCCUCCCUUCCCGCCCCCAAAGCUCGGGGGUCCUAUCCCUCCUCCGGUCCGCGGAGUCUCCCGAACCCUGCGGGGACCCGGCGCUCGGCGGUGCCCUCCUGGGGCGCACGGGGCUGGGGCGGGAGCGAGGAGACCAGGUGGGGAGGGGACCCCAGAUCUCAGACGCCAGGGGAGACGGCGUUUCCCGCUGUUCAUUCAGGUUUGUGCCAAAAGGAGCCUCACAGAUGCAGUAUUGGGUUUGGUAGACUCAAAUCGUCUUGUUUUAAUGUAAAUGAAAUCCUUCGACCCAGGCACGAGCGCCCAUCGCGGAGGCCACGAUGCCCGUUUUAUUCCCUCUCCACGGCAAGGAAAAGCAGCGAAAUCUGAGGUCUUCAGAGGUUAACCCUAUCUAGGAGCAGAAUGUGACGCAUUGUAAACAAAUAAAUAUUGAAAACUCGAUGUUAAACACUUUA
rnacentral:lncRNA from 1 species